rnacentral:pre_miRNA from 1 species
UUUGAUAACAGUUUCCAAAACAGUUUUCAGUUUUUAAAAACUGAAAACUUGUUUGGUAAGACCUGUUUUCAAA